rnacentral:lncRNA from 9 species
AUGCUGGAGGCUCUGCUGGGCAGCUGGGGAUUAUGGGCAUUGAGGGCUUGGCCUGGGAGUCAACGAUUAGUCAUGUCCCUGUGGUCUUCUGCAGUCAGUCUAUCACUCGUUCUCUCUGUUGUCAUGUAUUUUCCAGAAUCUUGCUUUGGGAGGAAAGGAUCUUGCUUCAGGAGCCUGAGGAUAAGUUUGUCCUCUGCGAGCUUGGCUAGACUAAUCCCCUGGUGGCCGCACAACAGGGUGCACCCAGCCACUGAGCCAGAUGAAGCAACGCACGACGAUGUUGUGGAGGCCGGUGGGAGUGAGAAGACCGAGGAGGAGGCCCAGGCUGUGACCAAGGAGGAGGAGGCGGGCCCGGCCCCUGAGAAGGGGGCAGAGGAGGCCGCAGCCGUUGGCGAGGCAGAGGAGGAGGCGGGCCCAGGCAGUGACAAUGACAAGACGUCCCCAGCCAGGGCUGGGGCUGAGCAGGAAGAUGAAUCUGCCCCCAAGGUGGACGGGACGGACGGUGAAAGCUGUGAGUAUUCUGGAACCCUGCUCCGCUGA